UAGGGAAUCUUCGGCAAUGGGGGGAACCCUGACCGAGCAACGCCGCGUGAGUGAAGAAGGUUUUCGGAUCGUAAAGCUCUGUUGUUAAGGAAGAACGAGUGUGAGAAUGGAAAGUUCAUGCUGUGACGGUACUUAACCAGAAAGGGACGGCUAACUACGUGCCAGCAGCCGCGGUAAUACGUAGGUCCCGAGCGUUGUCCGGAUUUAUUGGGCGUAAAGCGAGCGCAGGCGGUUAGAAAAGUCUGAAGUGAAAGGCAGUGGCUCAACCAUUUAAGGCUUUGGAAACUGUUUAACUUGAGUGCAGAAGGGGAGAGUGGAAUUCCAUGUGUAGCGGUGAAAUGCGUAGAUAUAUGGAGGAACACCGGUGUCGAAAGCGGCUCUCUGGUCUGUAACUGACGCUGAGGCUCGAAAGCGUGGGGAGCGAACAGG
rnacentral:rRNA from 1 species